rnacentral:rRNA from 1 species
AUGAACGCUGGCGGCGUGCCUAAUACAUGCAAGUCGAGCGAACAGAUGAGGAGCUUGCUCCUCUGACGUUAGCGGCGGACGGGUGAGUAACACGUGGAUAACCUACCUAUAAGACUGGGAUAACUUCGGGAAACCGGAGCUAAUACCGGAUAAUAUAUUGAACCGCAUGGUUCAAUAGUGAAAGACGGUUUUGCUGUCACUUAUAGAUGGAUCCGCGCCGCAUUAGCUAGUUGGUAAGGUAACGGCUUACCAAGGCAACGAUGCGUAGCCGACCUGAGAGGGUGAUGGGCCACACUGGAACUGAGACACGGUCCAGACUCCUACGGGAGGCAGCAGUAGGGAAUCUUCCGCAAUGGGCGAAAGCCUGACGGAGCAACGCCGCGUGAGUGAUGAAGGUCUUCGGAUCGUAAAACUCUGUUAUUAGGGAAGAACAAAUGUGUAAGUAACUAUGCACGUCUUGACGGUACCUAAUCAGAAAGCCACGGCUAACUACGUG